rnacentral:misc_RNA from 1 species
CCUACGGGAGGCAGCAGUGAGGAAUAUUGGUCAAUGGGCGCAAGCCUGAACCAGCCAUCCCGCGUGCAGGAUGACGGCCCUAUGGGUUGUAAACUGCUUUUAUACACCAAGAAAAAGCGCGACGUGUCGUGUCCUGACGGUAGUGUAUGAAUAAGCAUCGGCUAACUCCGUGCCAGCAGCCGCGGUAAUACGGAGGAUGCGAGCGUUAUCCGGAUUCAUUGGGUUUAAAGGGUGCGUAGGCGGCUUUUUAAGUCAGUGGUGAAAUCUUGCCGCUUAACGGUAAAAUUGCCAUUGAUACUGAAGAGCUUGAGUACAGUUGAGGUAAGCGGAAUGUGUAGUGUAGCGGUGAAAUGCUUAGAUAUUACACAGAACACCAAUUGCGAAGGCAGCUUACUAAACUGGCAACUGACGCUGAUGCACGAAAGCGUGGGGAGCGAACAGGAUUAGAUACCCCGGUAGUC